rnacentral:rRNA from 1 species
UACAGAGGUGGCAAGCGUUGUUCGGAAUUACUGGGCGUAAAGGGCGCGUAGGCGGCCUUCUAAGUCAGACGUGAAAUCCCCCGGCUUAACCUGGGAACUGCGUCUGAUACUGGAGGGCUUGAGUGCGGGAGAGGGAUGUGGAAUUCCAGGUGUAGCGGUGAAAUGCGUAGAUAUCAGGAGGAAUACCGGUGGCGAAAGCGACUCUCUGGACGGCAACUGACGCUGAGGCACGAAAGCGUGGGGAGCAAACAGG